rnacentral:misc_RNA from 1 species
AAGUCGUAACAAGGUUUCCGUAGGUGAACCUGCGGAAGGAUCAUUAUUGAAUGAAUGUAGAGUCGGUUGUAGCUGGUCUUCCAAAGACAUGUGCACGCCUUCUCUUUCAUCCACACACCCCUGUGCACUUGUUAGACGGAUGAUUGUUUCCCUUUUAUUAGGGGGACGGUUUCCGUCUGCUAACACAUAAAACCAUAUUAAUUAAAUUUGAAUGUAAUUGAUGUAACGCAUCUAAUACAAAGUUUCAACAACGGAUCUCUUGGCUCUC